rnacentral:rRNA from 2 species
GGGCUGCAGUAUUUUGACUGUACAAAGGUAGCAUAAUCAAUAGUCUCUUAAUUGGUGACUUGUAUGAAAGAUUGGAUGAGAUAUAUACUGUCUCUAAUUAAUUAAUUGAAAUUAAUUUUUUAGUAAAAAAGCUAAAAUAAUUUUAAAAGACGAGAAGACCCUAUAGAGUUUAAUAAUUUAUUUGAUUAUUAUUAAUAUAUAAUUUUUAAAAUUAAAAUUAAAUAAAUUAUUUUGUUGGGGUGAUAAAAAAAUUAAAUUAACUUUUUUUUAUGAUUAACAUUAAUUUAUGAGUAAAUGAUCCAUUUAUAGUGAUUAAAAGAAAAAAUUACCUUAGGGAUAACAGCGUAAUUUUUUUUUUUAGUUCAAAUAGGAAAAAAAGUUUGCGACCUCGAUGUUGGAUUAA